GUGAGGAAUAUUGGUCAAUGGGCGGAAGCCUGAACCAGCCAUGCCGCGUGAAGGAAUAAGGCCCUAUGGGUCGUAAACUUCUUUUGACGGGGAGCAAUAAGGGUCACGUGUGGCCCGAUGAGAGUACUCGUCGAAUAAGCAUCGGCUAACUCCGUGCCAGCAGCCGCGGUAAUACGGAGGAUGCAAGCGUUAUCCGGAUUUAUUGGGUUUAAAGGGUGCGUAGGCGGACGUGUAAGUCAGGGGUGAAAUACCGGGGCUCAACCUCGGAACUGCCUUUGAUACUGCAUGUCUGGAGUUCGGAUGCCGUGGGAGGAAUGGGCAGUGUAGCGGUGAAAUGCAUAGAUAUUGCCCAGAACACCGAUUGCGAAGGCAUCUCACGAAUCCGACACUGACGCUGAGGCACGAAAGCGUGGGGAUCAAACAGG
rnacentral:rRNA from 1 species